rnacentral:misc_RNA from 1 species
GAUGAAGAACGCAGCGAAAUGCGAUAAGUAAUGUGAAUUGCAGAAUUCAGUGAAUCAUCGAAUCUUUGAACGCACAUUGCGCCUGCCAGUAUUCUGGCGGGCAUGCCUGUUCGAGCGUCAUUUCAACCAUCAAGCCCCAGGCUUGUGUUGGGGACCUGCGGCUGCCGCAGGCCCUGAAAACCAGUGGCGGGCUCGCUGUCACACCGGGCGUAGUAGAUUUUAUCUCGCUCAGGGCGUGCUGCGGGUUCCGGCCGUUAAAAAGCCUUUUUUACCCAAGGUUGACCUCGGAUCAGGUAGGAAGACCCGCUGAACUUAAGCAUAUCAAUAAGCGGAGGA